rnacentral:rRNA from 1 species
GGUUAAGUUAGAAAGGGCGCACGGUGGAUGCCUUGGCACUAGGAGCCGAAGAAGGACGGGACUAACACCGAUAUGCUUUGGGGAGCUGUACGUAAGCGUUGAUCCAGAGAUUUCCGAAUGGGGGAACCCACUAUCUUUAGUCGGAUAGUAUCCUUACGUGAAUACAUAGCGUGAGGAAGGCAGACCCAGGGAACUGAAACAUCUAAGUACCUGGAGGAAGAGAAAGAAAAAUCGAUUUCCUGAGUAGCGGCGAGCGAAACGGAAAGAGCCCAAACCAAGAAGCUUGCUUCUUGGGGUUGUAGGACACUCUAUACGGAGUUACAAAAGAAAGUUAUAAAUGAAGCGGUCUGGAAAGGCCCGCCAAAGACGGUAACAGCCCGGUAGUUGAAAUGGCUUUCCCUCCAGAGUGGAUCCUGAGUACGGCGGAACACGUGAAAUUCCGUCGGAAUCCGGGAGGACCAUCUCCCAAGGCUAAAUACUCCCUAGUGACCGAUAGUGAACCAGUACCGUGAGGGAAAGGUGAAAAGCACCCCGGAAGGGGAGUGAAACAGUUCCUGAAACCGUGUGCCUACAAGUAGUUAGAGCCCGUUAAUGGGUGAUAGCGUGCCUUUUGUAGAAUGAACCGGCGAGUUACGAUUUGUUGCAAGGUUAAGCGGAAAAAGCGGAGCCGUAGCGAAAGCGAGUCUGAAUAGGGCGCAUAAGUAACAGGUCGUAGACCCGAAACCAGGUGAUCUACCCAUGUCCAGGAUGAAGGUAAGGUAAUACUUACUGGAGGUCCGAACCCACGCACGUUGAAAAGUGCGGGGAUGAGGUGUGGGUAGCGGAGAAAUUCCAAUCGAACUUGGAGAUAGCUGGUUCUCUCCGAAAUAGCUUUAGGGCUAGCCUCGAGGUAAAGAGUCAUGGAGGUAGAGCACUGUUUGGACUAGGGGCCCUUCUCGGGUUACCGAAUUCAGAUAAACUCCGAAUGCCAUGUACUUAUACUCGGGAGUCAGACUGCGAGUGAUAAGAUCCGUAGUCGAAAGGGCAACAGCCCAGACCACCAGUUAAGGUCCCCAAAUCUAUGUUAAGUGGAAAAGGAUGUGGGGUUGCUUAGACAACCAGGAUGUUGGCUUAGAAGCAGCCACCAUUGAAAGAGUGCGUAAUAGCUCACUGGUCGAGUGACCCCGCGCCGAAAAUGUACCGGGGCUAAACAUAUUACCGAAACUGUGGAUGAACCUCUUUAGAGGUUCGUGGUAGGAGAGCGUUCUAAGGGCGGUGAAGUCAGACCGGAAGGACUGGUGGAGCGCUUAGAAGUGAGAAUGCCGGUAUGAGUAGCGAAAGAAGGGUGAGAAUCCCUUCCACCGAAUAUCUAAGGUUUCCUGAGGAAGGCUCGUCCGCUCAGGGUUAGUCGGGACCUAAGCCGAGGCCGAUAGGCGUAGGCGAUGGACAACAGGUAGAGAUUCCUGUACCAGUGCUAAUUGUUUAACCGAUGGGGUGACACAGAAGGAUAGGGAAUCGCACGAAUGGAAAUGUGCGUCCAAGCAGUGAGUGUGAGAAGUAGGCAAAUCCGCUUCUCGCGAAGCAUGAGCUGUGAUGGGGAAGGAAAUUAAGUACGGAAGUUCCUGAUUUCACGCUGUCAAGAAAAGCCUCUAGGAAGAGUAGUACUGCCCGUACCGCAAACCGACACAGGUAGAUGAGGAGAGAAUCCUAAGGUGAGCGAGAGAACUCUCGUUAAGGAACUCGGCAAAAUGACCCCGUAACUUCGGGAGAAGGGGUGCUCUAUUAGGGUGCAAGCCCGAGAGAGCCGCAGUGAAUAGGCCCAGGCGACUGUUUAGCAAAAACACAGGUCUCUGCAAAACCGUAAGGUGACGUAUAGGGGCUGACGCCUGCCCGGUGCUGGAAGGUUAAGAGGAGUGCUUAGCUUCGGCGAAGGUACGAAUUGAAGCCCCAGUAAACGGCGGCCGUAACUAUAACGGUCCUAAGGUAGCGAAAUUCCUUGUCGGGUAAGUUCCGACCCGCACGAAAGGCGCAACGAUCUGGGCACUGUCUCAACGAGAGACUCGGUGAAAUUAUAGUACCUGUGAAGAUGCAGGUUACCCGCGACAGGACGGAAAGACCCCGUGGAGCUUUACUGCAACCUGAUAUGGAAUGUUUGUACCGCUUGUACAGGAUAGGUAGGAGCCGAAGAGACGUGUGCGCUAGCAUACGAGGAGGCAAUGGUGGGAUACUACCCUGGCUGUAUGACCAUUCUAACCCGCCACGCUUAGCGCGUGGGGAGACAGUGUCAGGUGGGCAGUUUGACUGGGGCGGUCGCCUCCUAA